rnacentral:lncRNA from 1 species
UCUACUAUUUUACCCUACGUUGCACUAUUAACCGCGUUGCGAACCGUUUCCUUUCGCCUCACCGGAGAGACACUAUAACGUACACGUUACUGUACAUACGCUUCCGCAAGCAUUAAAUGCGCCCCAGCGCAUUUAACGUAAUAUUCCACGCUAUUCGACACACCGAGUGUUUGCUGUUUGGAAUCUUCUCCGACGCCUCCGCUUCCUGAA